rnacentral:lncRNA from 1 species
UUGGAGCAGUCUAUGAUUCCGAUCAAAGGGAUCUGCCUGCCGGUGCACAUUUGACGAAUGCAUGUUACAUUUUUACAGAAAGUAAGGCCUACAAACUGAACUGAAACAACAUGUUAAGCAUGUCCAUAUUGAAAUUUGAAACUGAUCCCUACAAUGACGAGGAACCGCAACACAGAAGGCUACCUGAAACAAUCAGCAGGUGUUUCGUUGAUCAUUUGCCAUGACAUCCUUCACACCUCAUGCACGAUGGACGGCCCUGGUGACUUCUCCUCAGCGGAUCCCUCCAAAGGUGCUGCCGACGACGUUGUCCCUGCGGCGCCGCUCCUCCCUGAUGUUGUCGCCUGAUGAUUGUCCGAUGUCAAGACUUCUCUACAAUAAGGAGUUAGUGACCAAUAUUAUCAACAUAUUUUUAUCGUCUUGUCAAUAAGCUAGAUUCUUAGUGUUGAACAAUACCAAGUUUGCUGAAUCUUCUUACCAAUUCGGGUCACUAAACAAAUUCAAAAGAUAUGAUGUCCUUGUCUCAAAUGAUAUGACCUAAUUGCGAGAUCUGACCAGAAACAAAUAAAACGAAUUAUCUACAAAUAUAUUCAUAAGGUGGUAACCAGAAAGAAACUUCUUUCUGAGCUCAAACCCUCCAUACUCUCGAUGUUCUGAAUCACAAAUGUCUUUGACUUACCAGGAAACCUUCUGAAUAAUAAUUACCAAUAAAUCUAUGAGCCAUGGUUUUGAGAACAACAUAUGAAAAGAGUUCAAGUACGUAUGCCCCUGAAAAUGUAGUGUGGUUGGUAAUUAUUCUUAUAUUCCAACAUUAAAGAGUUAAGUGUUUUGAUAAAAUGUUGCUUGCUCAUCCUAAGCACAAACACUUUGUUAAAGACAUUUUGUUACUCAAGCAAAGUAAAUGCUUAUGUGUAGAACAGAACAGAAGAUGUAACAUGGAAAUUAUGUUUGGUUUUGGGAAGGGUGACAAACCUGCAUCUCUAUCGGAC